CCAGUCUCAAUUAUCUUUGUAACUUUUUCUGAUUCGUUUAUUUUUAUGGGUUUUUCUCGAUCAAAAAAUGUGGGCUAAGUAAAAAUCAUUAUAAGAAGACCAUCACUGUCUUUCAUUAUUAUCAGCUUCUCUCUAGGGUUACAUAUAUUUGAGCCCACCUCAGACUCCUUAGGUUUUUCAAUUUUUUAUUCAAAGCUAGGAUCUUUCUUCUAUUCUCAUCCUGAUUUUUCAAUCCCCAUAACCUUAAUCGCAUCGAAUUAUUUGAUUAGGCUCGUGAUUUGAAUCAUGGGUAUAUUUCGUUUGGUAUAAGGUUGUCUUGGUAACCGGUAAGCAUUUUUCUUUUCUUGUUGAAAAAUCUGUGUUUUUUUUUUUUUUUUUUUUUUUUGCCUUGAAUUAAGUACCUGUUCGUCUUUGCUGCUAUGAAAUCUCAUCUGGGUUUCUACUGAAAUGGUGGAAUUCAUUGUGGUUGUCUCGUAGGGUUUUUGAUUGAUUUCUUGAUUUAGACGUUUAGUUGUGGAAAAUGGUUUUUGGGCAUUCCUUAGUGGAUUGAUUGUGGUGAUUUGUAUCUGUUCAGAACUGAAAUUUGCCAUCUGGGUAUUUGCUAAUUGACAUCAAAAAGGAAAAUUGGGCUCAAAAUUUCAUCUGGGUCAAGUUCAAAAAUCAUAAAUUGGGAACCUUUUGACUAGGUUUAGCAUCUCUAAAGUGGUGGUUUGUUAACAAUUUCGAUAUGGUAAUGGACGACGGAGAGCUUGAUUUCUCGAACAAUCAAGAUGUGUUGGACAUGGGGGAGCUUCCAAGCAGUUGCUCAAUGGAUAGUUUCUUUGAUGAUUUACUUAAGGAAACUCAUGCUUGCACUCACACUCACACUUGCAAUCCACCCGGCCCUGAUUUUUCUCAGCAUACGCAUACUUGUUUUCAUGUGCACACUAAAAUUUUGCCUUCUCAAAGUGAGGAAAAGGUUGCUUCAGAUGAUACCGCGGAGUCCACUGAAAAGAAAGGGAAGAAACGUCCGUUAGGAAACCGGGAAGCAGUUCGCAAGUACCGUGAGAAGAAGAAGGCCCGAACUGCGUCGCUGGAGGAUGAAGUUGUAAGAUUGAGAGCUUUGAAUCAGCAGUUGAUGAAGAAGUUGCAGGGUCAAUCUGCAUUGGAAGCAGAGAUUGCAAGGCUGAAGUGUUUGCUUGUGGACAUUCGGGGAAGGAUUGAAGGCGAGAUUGGAUCAUUUCCUUAUCAAAAACCAGUCAAUCCAAACUUGCCUAGUUCAAACAUGCCCAACGCAUAUGUGAUGAACCCCUGUAACGUGCAAUGUGAUGAACAAGUCUAUUGUCUUCAUCCAGGUAUGGAUGGCAAUAGUGGAGAAGGUGUAUCAUUCAACGGGCAAGGCUAUAGUGGUUGUGAAUUUGAGAAUCUUCAGUGUUUAGUGAAUCAGAAUCCGGUAUCCAAGGAGCUUCCUGAUUCUGGUGUUGGAAAUGUGGCAUCCGAUGUCAAUUCCUCUGGUACAAAUAAGAGGAAAGGAGGGGCUCGCAAAGCAACAGCAAAUUGAAGAGCUGAUUAAUUGGCAAUGUCUUUAUGCUCAGGGGUACAUAUAGUGUUCCAAUAAGUAUUUUUGUUGAACUGCAGCACCAACUCUUCCUCAGAAAUUAGGGAGAUGGGAUGCCUUUCAUCUUUCAAUACUAUGAGCUGUGAACAGAAUGCCAGAUUUCCAUCGAAGGAAGCAUGGUCUUCUAACUGAAGUUUUGAAAAGGUGUUAAUGUCGUCCAUGAGUUGUGACAAACUAUUGGGUAAAUUGCUCAGUGUGCUGUCUUUAAUUGAUGCAACUGGCCACUGCAACUACCAACCAAUGGGACUCUCUUUCACAUCAUUAGGGUGAGAAAUGAAGAUGGCAAGGACGAUAUCUACGGGCUCAUCGCCUUUUGAUGGUCAUCUCCUUAAAUGAAGAGCCUGUUUGGUAAUGUUGUUUUAGUAACAUUGUUUAAGUGUUGUGAGAAUACGUGUAAGGGAAAAAGUGUUGUGGAAAUACGUGUUGUGUUGUUUAAACAACGAAAACUGUUGUUUAAACAAGACAACCUAACAGGCCCAAAAUAUCUUUUAGGUUGCAAACUUUUUGAACAGAUACUAAAUUCAUUUGGCAUAUUUCAGCUUGGUUUUUCUAUAGUCAUACUUAAGGAGGCAAAAGAGCAUAUAUGUUGGUAGGAUGAGUUCUUUCCAGUUUGUACCUUUUUAUGGUGGACUAUUGCAUACUCAUAAUAAGAACUCCAAGUUACAACUA